AUAUAGGUUAAGUAAAGAAAAGCGCACGGUGGAUGCCUUGGCACUGGGAGCCGAUGAAGGACGGAACGAACACCGAAAUGCUUCGGGGAGCUGUAAGUAAGCGUGGAUCCGGAGAUCUCCGAAUGGGGGAACCCCCUGCUCUGAACGGGCAGGAUGCCUUUCUGAAUCCAUAGGGGAGGCAGGGCAGACCCGGGGAACUGAAACAUCUCAGUACCCGGAGGAAGAGAAAGCAAAUAUGCGAUUUCCUGAGUAGCGGCGAGCGAAACGGAAACAGCCCAAACCGGAGGGCUUGCCCUCCGGGGUUGAAGGACACUCCGCACGGAGUCAGAAAAGAGCGGCGCAGGCGAACGGCCUGGAAGGG
rnacentral:rRNA from 1 species